UACGUAGGUGGCAAGCGUUGUCCGGAUUUAUUGGGUUUAAAGGGUGCGUAGGUGGUCUAUUAAGUCAGUGCUGAAAUAUCCCGGCUUAACCGGGAGGGUGGCAUUGAUACUGAUGGACUUGAGUGGAGUUGAGGUAGGCGGAAUUGACGGUGUAGCGGUGAAAUGCUUAGAUAUCUGGAGGAACACCGGUGGCGAAGGCGGCAUUCUGGACCAAUACUGACGCUGAGGAGCGAAAGCCAGGGGAGCAAACGGG
rnacentral:rRNA from 1 species